GAUGAAGAACUUAGCAAAAUGCGAUACGUAAUGUGAAUUGCAGAAUUCAGUGAAUCAUCGAGUCUUUGAACGCACAUUGCGCCCCCUGGUAUUCCGGGGGGCAUGCCUGUCCGAGCGUCAUUGCUGCCCUCAAGCACGGCUUGUGUGUUGGGCCUCCGUCCUCCUCCCGGGGGACGGGCCCGAAAGGCAGCGGCGGCACCGCGUCCGGUCCUCGAGCGUAUGGGGCUUCGUCACCCGCUCUUGUAGGCCCGGCCGGCGCUUGCCGACACAUCAAUCUUUUUUCCAGGUUGACCUCGGAUCAGGUAGGGAUACCCGCUGAACUUAAGCAUAUCAAUAAGCGGAGGA
rnacentral:misc_RNA from 1 species